CCUACGGGCGGCUGCAGUGGGGAAUAUUGGACAAUGGGGGGAACCCUGAUCCAGCCAUGCCGCGUGUGUGAAGAAGGCCCUCGGGUUGUAAAGCACUUUCAGUGAGGAAGAACGCCUGGUGGUUAAUACCCAUCAGGAAAGACAUCACUCACAGAAGAAGCACCGGCUAACUCCGUGCGCAGCAGCCGCGGUAAUACGGAGGGUGCGAGCGUUAAUCGGAAUUACUGGGCGUAAAGCGCGCGUAGGUGGCUUGAUAAGCCGGUUGUGAAAGCCCCGGGCUCAACCUGGGAACGGCAUCCGGAACUGUCAAGCUAGAGUGCAGGAGAGGAAGGUAGAAUUCCCGGUGUAGCGGUGAAAUGCGUAGAGAUCGGGAGGAAUACCAGUGGCGAAGGCGGCCUUCUGGACUGACACUGACACUGAGGUGCGAAAGCGUGGGUAGCAAACAGGAUUAGAUACCCGGGUAGUC
rnacentral:rRNA from 1 species